AAACCUGAGAAACCCAAAAGAUCGAAUGGGGAGAUUCAUCGUCAGCGAGCCUGGUGCGUGUGCGGCUCGCGAUGCCGGGGACUUCGGUUCUUUGGCACGCGUCUGCAUUGUUUUAUUGCCGGGUCUCGUCGGCGUGCACUUCUCCCCUAGUAGGACGUCGCGACCCGUUGGGUGUCGGCCUACGACUCGGGUGGGAGCCUGUCAUGCGCCACGCUUUACGGCGUCGUGUGGCAGACCCCCGGUUGUCUGGCCGGCUGCUCGGCGGUACUCGCACGGUAUCGGGCCGCAAAUAUUCGAACUGCGUCCGGCCCGCCGCAAGCGAGGUCAGUGUUUUCCCGGAUGUACGGACCUAGCGCCGUCACCGGGCCUGGCCAGCUGUUGGUCGGCGGUGUCCUGGGACUGGCUCUUAGAUACCGGUCGGCGACGCUACUGCUUUGGGUACUUUCAGGACCCGUCUUGAAACACGGACCAAGGAGUCUAACAUGUGCGCGAGUCAUUGGGAGCUAUAUAAGCCUAAAGGCGUAAUGAAAGUGAAGGUCGGCCCAGUGCCGACCGAGGGAGGAUGGGCCGCGUCACGAUGCGGUCCCGCACUCCCGGGGCGUCUCGUUCUCAA
rnacentral:rRNA from 1 species